AGUGUUUACUGUGUGAUCUGGCUGCGGCAUCUCUCAUCCCAUCAAUCACCAGGUUGAUUCGGCUGACCUGGUGGCUGGGCGGGAGUGUACCCUUUCUCCCUCACUGCUCUAUGUGCAUCUCUCCCGAUGCUCGAAGAGGAUGGCCAUCCCUGCUAGCGGUCAAGGGUAUAUUAGUAGCUAUGUUGCCCUACUUGAACCUCAAAACAAGCUCUCAAGAUUGCAUUUUAAAAGUACCCUUAUACCUGACUUCUUUGGCAAUCAUUUUUAUGUUGCCAGU
rnacentral:snRNA from 1 species